GUUUAAAAUUAUGCAAAUACAUAAUGCAUAUUAAUAUGGACGGGAACGUAUGGCUCUUGGGUGUAAUUACACCCGAGUUUCAAAAAAGAAAUAUUAAGUCAAAAAAUCUGAAACUUUUUGUGUACAAAUUAGAUUUAUUGUUGCACUCAAAAAAUUUGCGAAGAAAGGACUUUCAUGUUGUUGUGGACGUAAAGAAACAAAUUUGUCACUAUAUACGUUGUACUGUGCACACUAUUGUCAGAGAAUAUUUGUCAUUUUUGUCUGAGAAUAUUUUGUUGAAGAAUAUUUUUGUAUCCUAGAAACGACAACUCAAGUUGUUGGGAAAAUGUUUUAGAAAGUUUUGACCUUUUCUGUUUCUUUUUAUAAACAGUUUUGCUAAAGCACAUCUAGAUGUGCCAUAAGUAUUGCACAUCUAAGUCCUAUGUCAUUGAUCUUACGCGAAGAUUCUUAUGGGUAUUUUUUUUCUUUCUAUGCUUACUAGUUAAAUGCCCGUGCGUUGCAACGGGAAAACAUCAGUUAUGUGAAACAUCAUUCACAUCCGGCCAAUUCUUACAUGGCAUUUGGUUUUCUUUUGUGAGCAUAUAUGUUCAGAGUUUGGCGCAUCUUAAGAUAGUGUAAGGCGGAAGUGAUUAAUACAUAUGUAUCUUCCUUUCCCCGUUUCCAGCAGCGCACAACAAUCCCUCAAAAUCCCUAAAAAAACAAUCCCUCAAAAAAAAAAGCAGCGCACAACAUCCUCUCGGCCUCUCCCCAUCUCAGCCGCUCACCAGGGAGAGGGAGGGGGGCACCACCGGCCACCAUAGCGACCUGCCCUCCGAGGAGCAGCCGCCGCCCGCCGGGAUCUGGCGUCGGCUUAAGUUGUCAUCUCGCCCUCGCGGUUCUUGCAUCGCGCAGCCAGGGGCCACUCCCCCUGCCCUGCUCCCUCCCCCUAGCGAUCGGCGACGACUGCCUGUGCGGCCGCGCCGUUAUGUUGCCGUCCAACUGCCCUGCGUCUCCACUCCUUCAAGGCUCCAACACCCCUUCGCUGACCCCCUGCCUGCCGGGUUGCCGGACAGAAUUUUGCUGAGGCCAACCACAUCACAAACGGCACACAGUCUGGUCGAUGAGGAUGGCGUGAAAGACGGCAGUUCCACUCCGAGUAUGUUUGAUGCGAGCACACAAAACCUUUGCCGUUGCGUCCCAACCUCUACUGUAUAUGUCAGGAAUGGAACUAAUGUUGCCUGUUGAUCGGAGGGGGAGAGCCAACGGGAGCGGGAACGAAGUUCACAGGUGGUGGUGCCAUGAUCCUCUUUGAGCCAGGACGGCCCAUCUUUGCCAAGACCCGAUUUCUGUUCUACACGACUCAUGGUCAGAACGCUGCAUGACUUUUAUAGCAUGGCAUUAGAGAUAUGGCGGGAAGAGAAGCGCUCCUCAUUUUGUAUUGGCGCCAGCUAAAAAGACAUAAUUUGGCUGAUAUGACUUUUUCAAUAUCAAUUGGCGCCAGCUAAACCAUGGUGAUAGUCAAAGAAGGAAAAAUAUUGACCACAGUAUCAAUGAAAGAAGGAUGGAGAGAUUGAUCACCGUU